GACUACAUGAAGCUGGAAUCGCUAGUAAUCGCGGAUCAGAAUGCCGCGGUGAAUACGUUCCCGGGUCUUGUACACACCGCCCGUCACACCAUGGGAGUCGGAAAUGCCCGAAGUCUGUGACCCAACCGUAAGGAGGGAGCAGCCGAAGGCAGGUCGGAUGACUGGGGUGAAGUCGUAACAAGGUAGC
rnacentral:rRNA from 1 species